GCAACGCUUUUCUUGUUAGAUAUUUAGGGAUUUCCACGCUAAGUAUCCCCACAUCACAGAGGCAACGACGAGGGAAAAACUUCUUGACAAGUUUUCUCAAGCUCUAUUGUUGUUGGCGAAACGAACUGGGGAAGAAAUUCCCAACUGCACCAAUGAUUGUAUAACUGCAUUGAUUUUGAUUAUGCGCCUGAUGCCUGCGAUUUAUAAAGUUAAAAAAGUAGGUUUUGAUUCAAAGUUGCGGCAAUUAUUUCACUUCAUCAAGGAAAAUGAAAACAUUUCAACGGUAGCACAACAAAAAGAUGUGGUUUACCACAAGCAGCCUUUUCUUAUAGUUGUGGGAACUAUCCAACAUCCUAUUACCUAUUUUCUGGUAGUUGACCAGACGGCAAUACCGGUUAGUUGUUACUGUUAUACGGCAUUUCACUGCUUGUUCGCCAGCUUUUUUGUCUUUGGUCUUGAAUAUCCGUCGUAUCUUGACAAGUUUUUUUUAUUUUUUCGUAACAAUAUGUUUACGGUAUUUUUCCAAACAAAGGCAAAAUCAACGCUAGCAAACAGGAUUUCGUAAACACACUAGAUGACAUUGCUUUGAAAGUUCUACGUCUACCAAGCAACGAGUAAUAUUUUCACUUUUUUUUAAAUUUUUUUGUGGCUCUUUUUUUCAUUGUUUUAAGCUUUUCUUAAUAGAAGUUUAGCCCUCAUUUGCUUUAACAAGUUAAUGUACAGGAACGUCAUUUCUAAAACGGAUGGUUUGGUACUGUAACCAAGCAAUUUAUAACAUGUUCCCUGGGUACUCGCUGUUGUCACCCAAAUUUGUUUUGUUUUUCAUUGUUUUUCUUCGCUGUUUUUUUUUA